UUUACCGUUCACCAUGGACAUGGAUGAGAUUGUGAGAGUUCAUUUUUUCCAACUUAACAAAGUCAGAAGUCAUUUCUUUCAAUGAAGGAGACAUAGAAAUCGAACCUAAAGAUUGUUAUAUAACUUGAUUUGGGAGACUGCUGCAAUAGCUUGACUGAGAAGAUGAUGAAGAUGAACAUAAUGAAGUGUAUAUAACUUGAUUGUUGGGAAGAUGCUGCUGCACUUGAAACCUGAAAAAUUUAAUGGUUAUGCAUGUAAAACUCAGAGCGCACGGGGUUGCCACACUAACCUUUAGGUUCGAUUCGCCCCCACCAAUAACUGUAUAUUUGAUGCAAAAUGAAUGACUAGCGAAUACCCUUCAAGAUACUAUGAGUUCCUUGAUGUGUAUUGCACAGCCACACCAAGCGUAUUUCCUAACAGUAUUUUACAGAUUUAUGGUUUCAGCAAUUCACUCAUGCAUUAGAGAAUUGAUGGAUGAUUUAAAGUAAGAAAAUGAGUAAGAAAAUGAGGGUUAAUGUAACAAAAUUCUUGUUCUUGUUGUGUCCAAAUUAAUGCCCAAAUGUCAAACAUUUAUAGUGCAUUAUAUGACCAUUCACAUGAGUGAAAACACCCUUUUGACUUGAAUCAAUGAUAUGGUUCAUUAAGCACUCAUUUGCCAAAUGUUAUGAUCAUAUACACUUGAAUCAAUGCUAUGGUUCAUUAAGUAUCCAUUUACCAAAUGUUAUAAUGUAUAUGAAUGAUUCCCAUAAAGAGUUAUAACUUUUGGUUCUAAAGUGAUUCCAUUAUUUUAGAAAUCACCAACAAAACAUUCAAGACACAUAAUCUAGAAAGAGAAAUCAACAACUCGAAGAAUAAUAUACUCCCUCCGUCCCAAAUUGUAAGACGUUUUGGACAUUUCACACAUAUAUUAAGAAAUGCAAUUAAUAUUGUGUGGAAAAGAGAUAUUAUGAGUUGUUUUACAAAAUUGUCCUUAAUAAAUAAUAUGGGAAAAAUAAAUGAAAGAAUUGAAAUAAGAGAGAGUAAUAAAUAGUUAAGGUUAUAAGAGGAAAAGUAACGUUAAAGUUGCAUUGGUAUUGUAAAGCGACAUACAAUUUGGGACAAAUUUUUUUCCCUAAAGCGACAUACAAUUUGGGACGGAGGGAGUAUUGUCUAGUAAAUGAAAUGCAUCAAUGCUAAUCAAUAUUGAUCCUAUACAUUCAUGACUAAUCAAUGCUAAUCAAUUUACACUUAAUUUACAAUAAUGAUAUUCUAAGACUUUUAUAUAUCCCAACGGGUAUAAUAUAUACCCCAAUGGGUAUAUAGACUAAGGCCCCGUUUGGAUUGGCUUAUUUUGAGUUUAUGUGGGCUUAUCUACUUCCAUAAGCUUUUUUAAAGGUGUUUGGGUAAAUAAAUAAAAAUAGCUUAUCAUAGUUUCAUAAGCUGCUUAUGCCAUAUUUUAAUAAGCCUGAAUUUUCAGCUUACCCUCCGGCUUAACAAGGAGCUUAUGAAUUUAUGUAACCUCCUUCGAUUCUCUCUUGAUCCACUUUUUCAAAACAUAUAUAUUUAUUUUAUUUUUUAGUUUUUUUUUAUAUUUUAAUUAUAAUGUUAGUUAUCUUUGGUUGUGCAUGAGUAACAAAAUUGCUAUAUACUUAUCUUACUAAAGUAACACACGUAACUAAGAUUUUUUUUUUUUAAGGAUGAUUUUUAUUAUUUUUUUGUUACGUAACAAAAUAAAACUGAAUAAAAAAAAUAAACUUAACUUGUCUUUUUUUGAUAACAAACUGUACAUUAAUAUCUAUAUAUGGUAAGUUUACAAUCAUAAUUUCUCAAGUUUAUAUUUAUAUUAUUAUACUUUUUUUUAAAAGAAAGUUUAUCAUAUAUUAUUAUACUUGUGUAUAAUGAUGUUUAGACUAUUUAUUUACACCUCGAAUGUUAAUUUUGUCUUAUAUGAAUAUUGAUAUUUUUUUAAGGACGAAUAUUGAUUAUACUAUAUAUAUAAUUAUAAUUAAUAUAUUAUAAUAUUAUUUUUUACAUCUUGAUUAAUUUUAUCAAAAAAAAUCUUGAUAAUUGUGGUUCGAUUCUUUGAUUUUUUUGUUAAAUUAAAAAUAUUUAAAAUUUUGAGAUAAUUGCUUAUGUAAUGUCACAUCCAAACACUUCAAUUUAUGUAAGUACUUUUUAGUGUACAUAUCCAAACAUAAAUAGCUUAUCAAGUAUAAGAGCUUAUGAUGUAAGCUAUAAUGUUAUAAGCAUCUAUAUAAGCUGUUUAUCCAAACGGGGUCUAAUAAGUAUCAAAGACUAUUAAAAAACCAUAUAGUCAACAAAUUUAUAUGAAAGCUUAUUCAUUCAGAAGAUGAGCUAUGUAUUGGAUCUUCUAGUCACAUUCUUUGUCAUAUGGUCAUCACUUAAUUUCAAAUCAUUUGAAAUAAGUUUACCAUUCGGUCGAAGAAAUGUCUCUGAACGAUUAAAGUUAUAUUCCAUCCAAAGCAUCAAUUUCAAAAGCUAGGAAGAUUUUGUAGAUAAUCACAUGACAGAGUUUUCAACAAAAGAGUUAGUUUUAUUUUAUGUAAAAGAUAAUGUUAGUGAGAUUCACGUUAUAGCUCUUCAAAAUUCACGUUGAAUAUACACUCGGUAGAUAUUCCCACAUAAAAUGGAUCCUAAAGAUAGUGUUAGUGAUAAUUGUUCAUAGGAACAUUAAAUAAAGUGGUUAUAAUAUUCAUAACUUUGAAGGUAAACAUGACUAUUUAGUAAAAUAUAUGCAUUAAAGUAAAGACGGGAAUCAAACCAAGUUCAAAGAAAACUUUAAAUCUAAUCAAUAUUAAUGCAGUUUCUCUAGACAUAGUCGAACAAAAUAAACACGAAUAUAAAAGAGAUGGGGCUUAAGAAAACCAAACAAUAUUCUUAAAAAAAUUAAAAAAAAAACCAAAAUGUAACACCACAAAGAUAAUUUUAUACGCCACAGAGAGUUUAACACCUACACACGACGCCCUUUCUUGUUUUUUAUAUCUUGUCAGUCUCUGUUUGUCUUGAGUGGUGACCUGGUUAUUAAUAAAUUUAGUUGUUCAAAAAAGUGAGACUUAUUAUAUGGGGGUGCAUUUAGCAUAUGAUAAUGUGUAACUUGCAAAGCCCACAAGUGUGCUCUCUUGGCUUGCAGAAGCACAAAAUUGGUUGCCUUACUUCAAGAGCACAUAAGUGAUUAUGUAAAAUAUGGUCUUUUUGUUUAAGCAACAUGACACUAACCUAAAUCACUUUUAGUAAACCCUAUUCUUUCUGAAACCCUGAAACUAAACCCUCUUUCCUCUUUCUAAGUGUUCAUCAAAUUAGCUAGCACAAUGAGUACAUGAGUUAUGUUAGUGUAGACUGAGUAAAAACAUCGCUAUUUUUCUUUUCUAAUGGUCAUCCUUACACUUGAUAAUCGUAUAUUCUAAAUUUAGAAGUAGAAUAAAUAAUAAAUAUUUUUUACCAAUGAAUAAAUAAUAAAUAUUAAUAAUGAUAUAUUGACAUUAUUAAUUAAAGUGAAUAAUAAUUAUGUACUGACAUUGUUAUUUUUAUAUUGUUAUUGUCAAAAAGAUUUAAAGGCAGGCGAAACAUUUUUUCAAGAAAAAACAAAGUGCAAAUGACAAACUUGACAUCUAAACUAUGUUGGCUUCCCAUUAUUAUAAUCUAUAAUUUGCAGCACUCUAAAAUUAUUAUAAAUAAAUAAAUGAAAAAUGAAAAUUACAAAUAUUGAGGGGACUAGACCAAAACCUAAUAAAAGUUAACCAAGUGAUUUUAGAAUGUCCCUUGUUAACCUAUUGGGAUAAAACCCGAGUACGGGAAAAAGGUACAUAACAACUAAACAACAUAAAGGCAACAUAAACAUAAAUCAAAGUGCAUAGGAUAUGACAUGAAAAUAAAUUAUAUGUAACAUAUAAUUAUUUUACAUAUUAAUGGUUAAUAAUCCAACCACAAACAAAAUAAGUUAACGCACAACAAGUAUUGUUCAGGAAUGUUACACCCAAUUUUGUGGUUAUUUACUCGACAAUGAAUGUGACUGUUGCAUGAAACAAACACUGCAAUGUAAAAUAACAUUAAAGUAUUUUUAUUAAAAGAGUAUGAAAUAUUGUGUCUAAUAUAAAUAAGAAAAUGAGAAAAUAAUGUCGAAAAUUACUUACCGCCAUUGGUUACAUGGAGAUAUGUAUAAAGGAAGAUUAUCAGAGCAAAAAAAACUUUGAAAUGUGAGUCAUUGUUUUGAAAAAUUUUAAAGAGAUCGUUUUUGUAAAAUGAUAUGAACUUGGCGUGAUUUUGUGAUUUCAUGGAAUUGGCCUAGGAUACUUGUAUGCCUAAGAUACAAUGGAUUAACCAUUUUAUAAGUAAAAGUUUAUUGCUUGAAUUGACAUCAAUUAAAUAAAUUAAAGCUAUUGUUAAAUGGCUCUAAGGUAUAUCAGUGUGCCAAGUUUAUCCUUUAGCGCACUCAAUUAACCAGUUAAGCAUAAUAAAGAUCUCAAAUAAAAAAAAAUUAAGCCCAUAAAAAAUUUAGUAGAUUUUUUUAUUUUUUAGCCUAUCAUGAUAGAGAGGGGACAAAAUACCCAAAGAUAAAUAAUGGCAAGGUAAUUAAAAUCGGAUCGAACCAUCUGGUUUAACUAGUUGAACCGGGAACCGGACCUAUGUCUGGUCUGAAAUAAAAAGAAAACGGGUGUUGCAACGAACCGGGAAACCAGAUAAUAAAGAUUUGUUGUGCAUAAAAAUUAAAUAACAGUAAAUAAAUAUUGUUUGGAAAAGUUAUGGAGAGAGAUGAGACUAGGUCUUCCGAAUCAUUUGAUUUUCCUUAAUUGGUACACUACACCUACUUCUCAUGAAUAUUUUUUUAGUUUUAUGAUGAUUAACUAAAAUAGCCCUAAUCAAUCCCUUGACUUAGGACCCUCUUCUCAGAUUACAACCCCUAAAUCCUUAGGUGAUCUAAUAUUCUUUGAAGGUUUGAAGAAUGUUAACCUAAUAUCACAAAUACUUGAUUGAGGUGUAUUGUUUUGAAAAAUGUCAAAAAGAUUGUUUUUGUAAAAUGAUACGAACUUGGCGUGAUUUUGUGAUUUCUUGGAAUUGGCCUUGAAUACUUGUCUGCCUAAGCUACUAUGGAUUAACCAUUUUAUAAGUAAAAGUUUAUUGCUUUACCAACAUCAAUUAAAUAUAUUUUAACACUAAAGAGGUGAAAAAUUGUUUACUAUAUUAAAGUUAUUGUUAAAUGGCUCUAAGGUAUAUCAGUGUGCCAAGUUUAUCCUUUGGCGCACUCAAUUAACCAUUUAAGCAUAAUAAGGAUCUCAAAUAAAAAAUUUAAACCCGGCAAAAAUUUAGUAGAUUUUUUAUUUUUUAGCCUAUCAUGAUAGAGAGGGGACAAAAUACCCAAAUAUAAAUAAUGGCAAGGUAAUUAAAAUCGGAUCGAACCAUCUGGUUUGACUCGUUGAACUAGGAACCAGAACUAUGUCUGGUCUGAAAUACAAAGAAAACUGGUGUCGCAACGAACCGGGAAACCAGAUAAAAACUGGAUGAACCGGGAAAACCAGCGGGCUACACGGUUUGGCAGGUUGAACCGCAUUUUACAAUUUUUUUGAAAAAAAAUCUCAAACCAGAUUUGUUAUGCCAUAAGUCUGAACUAAGAAAAGUUAUGGUGGUUUUAUAGCAAGAAGACAUAAAUCUAAGUAGAAUAAAAAUAUAGAGGAGACCAUGAAAUGGAGAUCUUGGAGAAAAAACGAAAAGGAUAAUCAUAGUUGGUGGGUUGCGUUGCUGCUAUUUAGAAAUUAGGGUUAGUGUGACAUUUAUACUUAUAAUAACUGAUAGACUUUUAGAAGGUGUACUAAAACUAUUGAACUAAUACAAUUAAUGUUGUUUCCAUGAGAACAAUAUUAAUCUCAAGUAAACGAUAGCAUUAUGAAAUAGGAUGUGUAAAGUUAUUUAGUGCCUGAGACAGUAGAUUUGUUGUGCAUAAAAAUUAAAUAACAGAAAAUAAAGAUUGUUUGGAAAAGUUAUGGAGAGAGAUGAGACUAGGUCUUUCGAAUACUUUGAUUUCCCCUAAUUGAUACACUACACCUAUUUCUCAUGAAUAUUUCUCUAGUUUUACGAUGAUUAACUAAAAUAGCUCUAAUCAAUCCCUUGACUUAGGACCCUCUUCUCAGAUUACGAUCCCUAAUUCCUUAGGUGAUCUAAUAUACUUUAAAGGUUUGAAUAACGUUAACCUAAUAUCACAAAUACUUGAUUGAGGUGUAUUGUUUUGAAAAAUGUCAAAAAGAUCGUUUUUGUAAAAUGAUACGAACUUGGCGUGAUUUUGUGAUUUCUUGGAAUUGGCCUAGGAUACUUGUAUGCCUAAGCUACUAUGGAUUAACCAUUUUAUAAGUAAAAGUUUAUUUCUCUAUUGACAUCAAUUAAAUAUAUUUUAACACUAAAGAGGUGAAAAGUUGUUUAUUAAAUUAAAGUUAUUGUUAAAUGGCUCUAAGGUAUAAUAAUGUGUCAAGUUUAUCCUUUAGCGCACUCAAUUAACAAGUUAAGCAUAAUAAAGAUCUCAAAUAAAAAAAUUUAAGCCCGUCAAAAAUUUAGUAGAUUUUUUUUAUUUUUUAGCCUAUCAUGAUUGAGAGGGGACAAGAUACCCAAAUAUAAAUAAUGGCAAGGUAAUUAAAAUCGGAUCGGACCAUCUGGUUUGACUAGUUGAACCGGGAACUGGAACUAUGUCUGGUCUGAAAUACAAAGAAAAUUGGUGUCGCAACGAACCAGGAAACCAGAUGAACCGGGAAAACCGGCGGGCUACACAGUUUUGCAGGUUGAACUGCAUUUUUAAAAUUUUUUGAAAAAAUAACUCAAACCAGAUUUGUUAUGUCAUAAGUCUGAACUAAGAAAAGAUAUGGUGGUUUUAUAGCAAAAGGACAUAAAUCUAAGUAGAAUACAAAUACAGAUGAGACCCUGAAAUGGAGAUCUUGGAGAAAAAAUGAAAAGGAUAAUUGUAACGCCCUAUUUUAAUAUUUAUUUAUUUUAUUGAGUUUAGGUGUCUUUCCAUAAUUUAGUCGAUUUAUUCUGAUGGGUGAUAUUUUGUUAUGUUAUAUGUUGGUAUUUAUUAGUAUAAUAUAUAUGUUAUUUGGUGUAGAAAUAUAUAUAUAUUAUCUGGUGUAGAAAUAUAUAUGUUAUUUGGUGUAGAAAUAUAUAUAUUAUCUUGUGUAGAAAUAUAUAUGUUAUGUGGUGUAGAAAUAUUAUGUUAUUUGGUGUAGAAAUAUAUGUUAUCUGGUGUAGAAAUAUAUUUCUUAUUUGGUGUAGAAAUAUAUAUAUAUAUAUAUAUAUAUAUAUAUAUAUAUAUAUAUAUAUAUAUAUAUGAGGGCAAAUUUAGAAAUAAGAGAACAUAAGUAGGUUAAUGAUUUUUAUAAAAGGGCAGAUUUGGAAAUAAGAGAAAAUAAGUAGGUUAAUGAAAGUUAGAAUUAGAAAAUAAGGAUUACGUGAAACUGCUUUUGAGAGAAAAGCGUGAAAGUGAGAAGUCAAGAGAAGAGAAGAGUCAGAGAAGAGAAAGUGGUAGAAUCUUGUAGAGUCCGAUCAUCUAAUCUAAGGUAAGGGUGGGACUAAAUUUCUCUAAUUCUAAGUUGUAUAAUUCUGAAAUUGAGUUUAGCAUGUUGUAGGUUGUAGUUAUGGAAAUUUGGGAAUUAGGUUUGAAGUUGUAAUUGGUUGUUAAUAGAGUAGAAAAUCCGUUGAAUUUGUGUAGAAGUGAUGUUUAGAUCAUGGGUUAUUUUUAGUGCAAUCUUUUAUAUGGUUUUGAGUGCCUUAACAUGUAUAGAAAUGGUUCGACAUGUUUUUUGGAUCAAAUUUGGGCAUAGGGAAGUUAAAAUUGGGAUUUUGGGGUGAAAAGUGGGUUUUUCCCGAGUUGCUCUCUGACAGCACGUCCUGUUUCAUGUUCUUGCGUCUUUUUCACACGUUUCUGUUUUGAAUUGGCCUUUGGUGUAAACAUGAAAGUUGUAGAUAAUUGAGUUAGCUUUCCAGUGGCUUUGAUUUGACGAGAAAAUGAUUUUUGGUUCUUGAGAUAUGAUGAAAAUACUCCAAGGAGGUUUUAGUGAAAUCUUAUGAAAAUUCAGCAUAACCGUUUCUAAUUUAAUCCAAAACUUAAGGAAUAAUUCCAAACCUCAAAACUAGAAGUACUAUGAGUUCAACUAGGGUGUUUAAGAUUAUUUAAGCUAUGUUGUGAUGGAUCUAAUUUGGUUUGACGUGAAUAUCUUUGUUGGAUAAUUUGAAAUACAUAUAUUAUGUGAAUGUUGUUGUUGAAUAAUUUGAGUUACAUAUAUUUAUGUGGAAAAGGUAUGAUAUAGAAAAUAAUGUUGUUAUACCAUUCAAGUUGUUAUUAUUAAUGAUGCUAUGUUGUGAAGUUGGUGUAUGUGUUUGUCUCUACUGUAUUGAUUAUUAAAUCAUUAAGUUGCAUAUGUUGGUCAAGUUGUUAAAGUUGUAAGUUGUUGUCAAUGUAGUUAAAGUUGUAAGUUGUUAUCGAUGUCGUUGAAGUUGUUAGUUGUCGUUGCAUUAGUUGUUGAGUCCAUGCAUACUCAUUUACGUUGAGGGCAUGAUGCCAUGUGAGCUUUUGCUCUUUAAGUUGAGGGCUUGAUGCCCUGGGAGUGUAUUUAUGCUCAAUACGUUGAGGGCUUGAUGUCCUGUGAGCUUUUGCUCUUUAAGUUGAGGGCUUGAUGCCCUGAGAGUGUAUUUUUGCUCAAUAUGUUGGGGGCUUGAUGCCCUGAAUUGGUACCACAUGCAUGAUUAAGAAGUUGAAGUUGCAUAUGUUGAGUUUAAGUUGUAGAAGUCGCAUUGUCGUUGUCGUUAAGUUGUCAUUUGUCAAUGAGUUGUUAAUAAAGAACUAAGCGAAGUAUUAAUAUUUAUUAAUCGUUGUUGUUUAUGUCGUUAUGAGAUGAUGUUUAUGAUGUUGUUAUUUAUGUCGUUAUGAGAUGAUGUUUAUGAUGUGUUGUUUAUGUUGUUAUAAGAUGAUGUUUAUGAUGUGAUGAUUAUGUCGUUAUAUGAUGAUGUUUAUGAUCUGAUUAUUAUGUGCUAUAUGAUGUUGUAUAUAAUGUGAUGAAUAUGAAGUUAAUAAUGAUUAGAAGUUGGUUGAGUUAUUAAUGAAGUAUUAUAACAAGAGUUAAUGUUAUUAAUUGAUGAAGUUUAAGUUGUUAAAUGCUUUUGAUGAAUUAUAUGCUUAUUAUUAUUGAAUGUGAAAUCUCACCCCUUCUGCUUGGAAAUGUUGCCCUCACAAUUGGGUAACUUGCAGGUAAUCUAGAAUAGUUGUGGUCGUGAGUGGACUCUCUCACGUGUCAUCGUCUUAAGUGCUCUGAUACGUAACGGGAUGAGAAUUUUGUUGUUGCUCUUUGUUCCUUACGUAUUAUUUUAUGAAGUUUUAUGAACAUGUUGUUGGAAUAAUUUUAUGAGAUUUUACCUUGAGGCCUUUGUGUCAAGGUUGUUUUAAACGUUAAAAUAAUUUCCGCUACAAUAAGAUUUAAUUUGAUGAUUGAGAUAAUUAGUAAUUUUACUAUAUUCAGAUUUGAAAGAAGUGUAACAUCCAGUUUUUAGUUGUUUACUCUGAUAUAAGUGAAAUUUUUCAAGUUGGGAAAACGGGGUGUUACAAUAAUCAUAGUUGGUGGGUUGCGCUGAUGCUGCUAUAUAUUCAGAAAUUAGGGUUAGUGUGUCAUUUAUACUUAUAAUAACUGAUAGACUUUUAGCAGGUGUACUGAAACUAUUGAAGUAAUACAAUUAAGUUCUUUUCCAUGAGAACCGUGUUAAUCUCAAGUAAACAAUAGCAUUAUGAAACAGGAUGUGUAAAGUUAUAUUAGUGCCCGAGGCAGCAGGUGCAUAAAAAUUAAAGGCUAAAAUAUGGUUUUGGUCCCUCAAAUAUGCCUCGUUUUGGUUUUAGUCACUGUAAAUUUUUUUUGUUGUUUUUGGUCCCUGCAAAUAUGCCUCAUUUUGAUUUUGGUCCCUGGCUCCACUUUUGUGAUGAUUUGCACACGUGGCACAUGAUGACUGAACCCAUUUAUUAGAGAAAUAGUCCCUGCAAAAUCUUUUGAUUUUACAAGGACCAAAAACAACAAAUUUUUUUUACAGGGACUAAAACCAAAAUGAGGCAUAUUUGCAGGGACCAAAACCAUAUUUUAGCCAAAAUUAAAUAACAGAAAAUAAAGAUUGUUUGGAAAAGUAAUGGAGAGAGAUGAGACUAGGUCUUUCGAAUCAUUUGAUUUUCCCUAAUUGGUACACUGCACCUAUUUCUCAUGAAUAUUUCUCUAGUUUUACGAUGAUUAACUAAAAUAGCCCUAAUCAAUCCAUUGACUUAGGAUUCUCUUCUCAUAUUACAAUCCCUAAUUCCUUAGGUGAUCUAAUAUACUUUAUAGGUUUGAAGAACAUUAACCUAAUAUCACAAAUACUUGAUUGAGGUGUAUUGUUUUGAAAAAUGUGAAAAAGAUCGUUUUUGUAAAAUGAUACGAACUUGGCGUAAUUUUGUGAUUUCUCGGAAUUGGCCUAGGAUACUUGUAUGCCUAAGCUACUAUGGAUUAACCAUUUUAUAAGUAAAAGUUUAUUUCUUUAUUGACAUCAAUUAAAUA
rnacentral:lncRNA from 1 species